ACACUUGUGGCGAAGCGGCUAAACGCGAAGGUCUGCAAAACCUUUAUUUCAUGGGUUCAAAUCCCAUCAUGUGCUCCA
rnacentral:tRNA from 1 species